rnacentral:rRNA from 1 species
AUUGAACGCUGGCGGCAUGCUUUACACAUGCAAGUCGAACGGUAACAGGCCGCAAGGUGCUGACGAGUGGCGAACGGGUGAGUAAUGCAUCGGAACGUGCCCAGUCGUGGGGGAUAACGCAGCGAAAGCUGCGCUAAUACCGCAUACGAUCUCUGGAUGAAAGCGGGGGACCGAAAGGCCUCGCGCGAUUGGAGCGGCCGAUGUCAGAUUAGGUAGUUGGUGGGGUAAAGGCCCACCAAGCCAACGAUCUGUAGCUGGUCUGAGAGGACGACCAGCCACACUGGGACUGAGAAACGGCCCAGACUCCUACGGGAGGCAGCAGGUGGGAAUUUUGGACAAUGGGCGCAAGCCUGAUCCAGCAAUGCCGCGUGCAGGAAGAAGGCCUUCGGGUUGUAAACUGCUUUUGUACGGAACGAAACGGUCCGGGUUAAUACCCUGGGCUAAUGACGGUACCGUAAGAAUAAGCACCGGCUAACUACGUGCCAGCCGCCGCGGUAAAAC